AGUUUCAACUUUUUCCUAUCUCCUUUUUCUAUCUCUACUCAGAACUCUAAAUUCUAUUAUAUAUUUCUUCUAGUUUCCUGACUAAUCUGUGCUUCCUUUAGCUUAUAACUCUCCCUCUACUCUCAACCUAUCUGACUUAAUUUGCUCACAGCAACCUCCUGUCCUAUCUCUAGUCCAUCUGAAUUCUCUAAGCUUAGCUAGCCCCCCUACUUGCUUGGGACUCACUUCUCUCAGACUCGUUCUGUGACAACUUGGUUGUCAACCUAAAUACAUCUAGAAUUAAUUAAAACCCAAGCAGCUGGGUAGACCUGUGAGGGAUUUUUUUCUUAAACCACUUGAAGUGGGAAGACCCACUUUUCAUCCAGAUCUUCUGAGGUGUGAAGAUCCACCUUUACUCCGGGCCACACUUUCUGCUGGAAGCCUCUAUAAAGGACACAGAGGGAAGCUUGUUCUCUUUGCCUGCUGGCUUCCCCUCUUGCUCUCAGUGACAAGUCCAUUUCUUCAUUGGCAUCAAGAGCCUACCUCUGGGAUUCUGAAGACCAGCAGAGACAUCCAGUGUCAUGGACAAAGUAAGAAUAACUACUGGCUUCUUAGAGCCACUGUCAAUGGUAGACAGCCUUUGUUGGACAAGCUGAACCAAAGCCUGUAAGCCAUUCUAAUAAGAAGCCUUUCUGUAUAUGGAUAUAGAUGUAUUCUAUAAGUUCUGUUCCUCUAGAAAAUCUGAAUAUACCCCCCCAAAUCUAAAAUCUUAUAUUAUUAAAAUAAACAAAACCAUACCCAACUCUGCAUUUUUCACCUACUUUUUUUCUUUUUGCUGUUUUGGUCCAAGCUUUUCUUCCUUGGUCUAAAAAGUUUUCUUUUGUACUACUUGAUCAAAGGGAAAACAUUUUUCCAAUUGCUCAAUGUAGGAGGCUUCGGUCUCAUUACGAGUUCAAUGGAGCAGUUACUUCAAGGAUUAUUUUAACUAAGCCUCUCUGACGAGUCCCCCGUGAGUCUCAGCUCACCUUCCAGUACAGGAGAUCUCUGCGCUCAUCUUCUCUCAUUCUUACAAUAAAGACUUUUUUUUUCAAUUUUUUAUUAGAUAUUUUCUUCAUUAACAUUUCAAAUGCCAUCCUGAAAGUCCCCUAUACCCUUUCCUUCCCCGCCCUGAUCCUCUACCCACUCACUCCCACUUCUUGGCCCUGGUGUUCCCCUAUACUGGGACAUAUAAAGUUUGCAAUACCAAGGGGCCUCUUUUCCCAAUGAUGGCUGACUAGGCCAUCUUCUGCUACAUAUGCAGCUAGAGACACGAGCUCUGGGGGUUACUGGUUAGUUCAUAUUGUUGUUCCACCUAUAGGGUUGCAGACCCCUUCAGUUCCUCAAUAAACACUUUUUAAUUCCUCCAAUUUAUAUUUUCCUUUUUGUAAUUUCAAAGAUUUCUGUAACAUCAAUAGCCACCUAUACACAGGACUCCCAAGCCUGUGACUUAUUCUUUUCUCUCUGAGCUCGUCGAGGCCUUUAGAAACUCCAUGCAUACAUCUCUCUUAGCUAUCCCACAGGAAAGUUCAAGACAGAGGCGCUCAACUGCAUUCAUCAUUUAUUCUCCGUCCACUCCACCCCCCCACUACUCUCUCUUGAAUAACCAGAUUGGUUAGCCAGAGCCAGACUUGGGAAGAACUAGGACACACUCCUCCACUCUCAGGCCUCACAAUCUAUAGGCAGAUCUUAUCAAAUAACCCUUUCAGCUCUGCAUUCUUGCUUUCUUACUUUAAAUAUUCUUGCUUGCUAUCUGGCACCCUUUCAAAAUCACAGGUUCCCGACCGCCUGCCUGCAGGAUGAUGCUGGAGUUCUUUAGUAUAGUAACAGACAAGCCGGAACAAUCGUUUCCAACCUCUAUUCACCUAUGUUCUUACAUUCUACCUAAGGUCACUCACGAAACAUUACAAACUGGCUUUCAGGCAGUUCCUUCUUUGGGUAAUCGUCUUCCCUCCUUUUCUACUUUAGUAUCUUCUUCACAAAGCUCUGAUGGUUGGGGAUGGACUUAGCCUUUUCAGUCUGUGCCUCCCAUGAAAUCCUGGGUAGAUAAGUUACAGCAGAUAACCUCAUGCUGAGUACAGUUACCUUUCCUGAUCAGGAUUCAAAUUAGCAAUUUUGCUAUUAGAAUCUAUACAGACCGGGGCAAAAAAACAAUAGCCAUGAGUUUAUGUCAUCAACAAAGACAGGUAGAAACGCAGCGAUGUGUAAAUAAAACAAACGAACACCUGAUACACAACUGCUUGAAAAAAAAAUGGUAUUGUUAUUAAGGGUCUAUAAAUUAUGCAAGCCUACAUUUAAGAAAAAAUACCUCGAAAAGAUAACUCUAAGAUGAUAAACAGAUAAUGAUAUUUCUGGUAACAUUUAGAAUCUACUCAACUAGUUGGGGUCGGGGCAAGGAAGAAAGGAGGAUUGGACGGGGCAAGAAUCUGCAAGGAGGUACAAAAACUGGGAACACGAUUUUUAAUUUCUUUGGUACACUCUAAUCUCCAAUCAACAACCAUUACCAUGUCAUCUGCCCAUUCUGGAAAUCGUGUACACUUUUUAAAAUUUGCCACUCUGCUGUAACUGUCGAGUUUUGUGAAGUGCACAGGUCCGUGGUAGAUCGAGAUUCGCAGAUUAACAAACUAGAGACCCGGCCCCUUCGUAUCUACUGCCUAGAGCCGACGCCUUCCAAAACCACUGGGUGGAUAAAAACAUCAGGCCACACGCCUACUACAGCCAACACGGCCAGUCUUCGUGGCCUAGGCAGGGAAUGCCUCAGGGUUAGCCUGGCACAGGUUCCCCACCGCCGGGCACAGCCCACCGCCCCGGGCCUGCGGGCCGCUUGCUCCCGCCCAGCGCGGCCUGCCGCCACUCACAAGAAGUUCUCCAUGGCGAUGCGGACGAUUGAGCCCUCGACGAAGGUCCCGGACGGCCGCGGCAGCGUCGGCAACGGGUUCGAGUUCUUUCUCUUGCUCGGGACCUCGGAGGAAGCAUCUCUCGGGAGAGACCGCUUGGAAACCUGGGGGUUGGGGGGAGCAGCCUUCCCGCUCGGAGUCGCCAUCCUGGCUUCCUCCGCGUCCCGCAGCGGCUUCCGUUCCCGGCGAGCCGCAGCCCAGGAGCCUCCGCGCCCGGCUCCCGCGCUAACUGACCCCGCCUGACCCCGCCCCCGCGGCCCCGAUGCGCUUGCGCGGUUCCGCCCCGCAAACCCGAGGCCACGCCCCGACCAACGCUCCCCGGUGGCCUCAGAGUUUCCUUCCCUGGUGCUCAAAUGAACUCCAAAGAAAAGAUGCCUGUUGACUGUGCCUGUUGUUGGAAGCAUGGCACUAACAACCAUCUGAUGCUCUCAAGAUUGUGAAGAGUGUAUUAAUUACUUGCCCACUCACA